UAUGCCCUGCUACACCCUGCUACGCUCUGCAGUGCCCUGCUACGCCCUGCUAUACCCUGCAGUGCCAUGCUACGCCCUGUUAUGCCCUAUAACGCCCUGCAGUGCCCUGCUAUGCCAUGAACUACUACAACUACUAUUUCUAGUCAUAGUUCCAUUAUCUUUAUUGUGACUAUUAUUGCCACUGUUCAUCGCACCCCCAACUGGCACCAUCACACCGCCUACCAAGAGCCUGGGGCU